rnacentral:rRNA from 1 species
AUUGAACGCUGGCGGAAUGCUUUACACAUGCAAGUCGAGCGGCAGCGCGGGGCCACCUGGCGGCGAGCGGCGAACGGGUGAGUAAUACAUCGGAACGUACCCAGUUGUGGGGGAUAGCCCGGCGAAAGCCGGAUUAAUACCGCAUACGACCUGAGGGCGAAAGGGGGGGAUCGCAAGACCUCUUGCAGUUGGAGCGGCCGAUGGCGGAUUAGCUAGUUGGUGGGGUAAAGGCCUACCAAGGCGACGAUCCGUAGCGGGUCUGAGAGGACGACCCGCCACACUGGAACUGAGACACGGUCCAGACUCCUACGGGAGGCAGCAGUGGGGAAUUUUGGACAAUGGGGGAAACCCUGAUCCAGCCAUUCCGCGUGAGUGAAGAAGGCCUUCGGGUUGUAAAGCUCUUUCGGCAGGAACGAAGCGGUGGCCCCUAAUACGGGUUGCUAAUGACGGUACCUGAAGAAGAAGCACCGGCUAACUACGUGCCAGCAGCCGCGGUAA